AGAUCAAAAUGAUCUUUUUGUUCCUCAGUUACAACAUGAAGGGGAGAA
rnacentral:tRNA from 1 species